UGAUAAUUUAUUCAUAAAUUCAAUUCACCUUUCAAUUAUUGAAAAAUUUAAUUGAACUCUAUUGUUUUCAGAAUAAUAAUUCUAAACAUGUGAACUCAUGGCCUCUUUUAAUAUAAUUGAAUUGAAUUCUACCACUUAGAAAUUUUCUCGUGCCUAAAACUCCAGUCUUUCGCAGAUGAGGGCUUCCCUGCUACCUUUGAAGGACUAUCUAUUUCCAGCUGCCCUCUACUGCGAGACGUUGCUUAAAAGCUAAAGGGAGAGAUUACUGGCCUAUCAUUUCUCACAUCCCCUGUGUUCGUAUAAAUUAAUGAUGGUUCAGCACUCCAACAGUGAGCAUAUGAGCCUGCCUGCUUUCAACAUAUAUACACAGAGAUCAAAUGAUCUGGAUGGAUUUGAGUAAGGUAGGAAGAAAUGUGAAAAAUCUGUGCUGCGAGCGUAUGAGGAACAUUUGCCUGGGCUUGCAUAUGCUUUUAUCUUCUGUAUAAGUUUUCAGUCACUAUUUUUAAUUGAUAAAAAAAAGGUAAAUAUAAUUUUUCAAGGUGGUCAGAGGCAAACUGUUGCAGAUCUUUAGCAUUUCCUGUUAUAUUAUGAUCACACUGCAGGAGACACAAUGUUAGAGUUGCAACUUCAUGACAUCACAUGGUGCUAGUAGGCACAAAUUGGAUGGACAACACUACUAAUGCAAGCAGCUAAGUUGGGGGUAUGUCAUUUCUCUGUGUUUAUUUAUUUGUUAGUCAUUAAAAGAGAGCAAGAAAAGACUAUAGAUUGACACAGUGCACUCAUGUUGCUUAGAUAUUCAAAUCCCAAAAGCAAAAGCAAAGACUAUAAAUUGACAUAUUGAUUGUAGGAUCUAUAGCAUUCCGUUAAUCAGGUACUAAAUAACUGUAACAAUUAGAAUGCUUCACUUGAAGAAAUUUCUAUUUGCAACUUUUGAAAUUAUGCUUUGCAGGAUCAUCUCUUGAGUGAAUGUCCUGUUUCUUGUUAUGCUGCCUGAAACUUGAAGAAAUUUCUAUUUGCAACUUAUUUUGAAAUUAUGCAUUCUGUUUCUUUCUGGAGUUGCAACUUAAUGAUAUGGUGCAUUGCCAGUUGGCACAAAGUGGAUGGACAACUCUACUAUUGCAGGCAGCUAUAUGUUGGGGUAAUGUUUUUCUUUGUAAUUUAUUUAUAUGUUAGUCAUGAGAAGAGAAAAAGGGGAGGCUAUAGAUUGACUCAAUGCAUUUAUGUUGUAUAGUUAUUCAAAUCCCAAAAGCAAAAGUGAAGAUCAAUUUUCUUUUCACUGAAAUUCAUCCGUAACAAUCCAUGUUACUGCCAAAUAUGUGAUCAGGAAAUUUCAUCUUCUUGGGAACAAAUGGAACUAUGGAAGAAUCAUC